CGUGUAGGCGGCCCGACAAGUCCGCUGUGAAAGUCCAGGGCUCAACCCUGGAAUGCCGGUGGAUACUGUCGGGCUAGAGUCCGGAAGGGGCGAGUGGAAUUCCUGGUGUAGCGGUGAAAUGCGCAGAUAUCAGGAGGAACACCAAUGGCGAAGGCAGCUCGCUGGGACGUGACUGACGCUGAGACGCGAAAGCGUGGGGAGCAAACAGGAUUAGAUACCCUGGUAGUCCACGCUGUAAACGAUGGGCACUAGGUGUGGGGGGGUGUCGACUCCCCCUGUGCCGAAGCUAACGCAUUAAGUGCCCCGCCUGGGGAGUACGGCCGCAAGGCUAAA
rnacentral:rRNA from 1 species